AAAUAACCUCUCUGCCUAGGUUAUUGAGGAAUAUCCUCUCUGCCAGGACAGCCCUUAAGACUGUGGGAAAGAACUCUUAAAACAUAAGUUCAAGAAUAUAUAAUUUCUCAGCUAUGUAAAAUAUAAGGAUACAAUAUGAAUUGUAUAAGGAGAUUCGAUUCGUGGACCUAAAAGAACAAAGGCAGCUGCACUAUGAGCCAGCUUGUCAGAAAGAUACUACUGAAGGAGAUAAAGAGAUAAAGAGAUUUAGGGAGUGGUGAUAACAGGGCAAGAUCCCAGCCAGCUAAGUUUAUUAUUUGUGCUUACAUAGGCAGGCAGAGUCCUGAGUUCAAGAUCAGCCUGGGACAGAGCUAGUUUAGACCCAGGGUUGGUGGGAAUCCCACCCAGCUAGCUUGUUGUCUAUGCUAAGAAAGACAGGCAGAUCUCUGAAUUCAUUUGGCAUGUUUUUUUUUUUUAAAAAAAGUACCUGAUGUCUUUUCUUAAGAAUCAAGAGGCUAGAGUCAUGGAAUGCUGACUCAUGGGUUAAACAAAAGGGAAUCUAGAGUAAGUGACUGAGUUGAUAUGUAAAUAAAAGACUGGGCUUUAGUCUGCAAGAGCUGAGCUACCUGGAUGAGCUGUCUGGAGAUCUCUGUAGAGCAGAAUACUAGUCUCUAAUUUUUUUAGAUUUUUUUUUUUUCUAGUAGCUACUCAGAGAGAACUGCUUAGAGAAUGAAAUGAACAUUGCUAUUUUAGUUGUGUUGUUUUGUUUUUUUUUUUUUCUAGAAAAUCCAAAAAUAUUUUAUAGAAGCUUCUCUGACUCUAGUCAGAAAACCCAUGAGCUAGCCAGAGAGCUUUUGGAUUUUUUUUUCCUAGCAAGAGAAAGCUGUCUCAAGAAGAGACAGCUGUCUCAAGCAAAAGAGCUGCCUUGAGCAGAAAGCUAUCUCUAUCAGACUGCAUAGCCAAGAGCUAUCUGCAGAAAGCUGUCCAGCUGUCUAGACUACAAGGCUGUCAGCUUGCAACCCAUCAUAUGACUUUGAGUUGUUUCUUUCACCGCUCCCAGACACCCCUUCUCGCAGGAACCUCCCUCCAAGCCAAGGCUGGUCCUGGGCACCUUGCCACAUGGUCUUGGCUACAGAUGUGUGCAAGACCUGUAAGGCUAUAUUUUUCUUCUUGUGUGCAGCUCCUGCAAUAGGCCUAUCACACAGUACUCACACAGGGCAAGGGAUCUGAUGAGAACCUCCUGGGGAACCCUCGGGGUUCAGCUGAUGCUGUAUUCUGCAAUAGUAAUUCAUGUAAUGUCAUUGGGUGUAAAGUGUUGUAUAAAAUUCAAGCUUCCAAUUGAGUUGAAAGUGAAAAGCAAUCUUGGAAUGGAUGACAUUAAUCCUCAUGCAAGACAAAUUUCCAGCUUCCCAUUGAUUCAUAAAGUGGGUCAUCUGUGCUUAACUCCAUUUAGUUAACCUGGUUAAUAUUUAGACAGAAUUAGCCAUUUACGAACUACUGUGCAAGUUAAACAGACAAAUAGAAAAGUGAAAUUUCCUAAAGAAGAUUAAACUUUUCCUUGCAUAUAUAAAGGCUUGUUGAGUAGUGCAGAGGGUUAAAUAUGGAAGAUCCUGUGGGUUAUCUACAGAGUUCACCAUGGGAAGUGUAAGAGGUGGAAGCAAAUGGCUUUGGAAAAAUCUUCCAAGCACACAACUUCAACUUUUAAUUUUGUACACCAUUUCAUCUUAAUCUGUGUGGCAGUUGUUUUAUAUUUAAAAAGAAAGAAGUGGUUCUCAAUGAAAAUCUUGUAUCUCAAGGUUUCAUAUUAAUAACCCUAACAGGUAUUUACACAAGGUGUCACAGUACUUACUGGGUAAACUUUGGGCUUUGGUUUCUCAAGGAAUGGCCUCAUUUGAGCAAAACAGAGUUUUGAAAUGAGGGAUUUCCCUAUGGCGUAAAGUACCAUGAUCACGUUGCCAGCUGGAGUCCAGCUGGGCUGGAAUGCUCUGCUUUUCAUUGUGUGUUCCUGCACAAAGUAGCCCGUCUUCCACUCGAAGCCUUAAGAGGCUGAGAAAAUGAGAGGGCCGGAUAACAUCACUUUUACAAGACAAAGUGGAGGCAGGAGGCCCUAGAUCUUUGGCAGGUCCAUCCAAGAAAGGGAGUGUCACCUCUGGAAUGGAACAAUGCCGGCACUGUUCUUCCUGGGCCGCACGUGGAGAGCACACAGCACACCACUAACACUUCUAGAGCUCAACGGGAAGCUCAAAGGGCUGUCUGAUCUCUAUCUAUUUUUUUUCUUGUAGUUCUUGCUUAUGGCUACCAGCCCUACAAACUGUCAACAACUCUGAAGGAUGCUCUUGCAUCUCUGCCUCUCUCUUUCAUCAGUACUUCAUGUGAAUAGGAAUGUGGCAAAUAGGAGAGAUUUGGGUUUGCUGUUAUUAUUUUUGUUGCUGUGUAUGCGUAAUUGCCUGCCAUGUGGGUGCUGGUGCCUGACACCAAUGGAUUAAAAUGUAACUUCUGAACAACUACCUUCUAACAAAAUAAAAUAGAGUAGUC
rnacentral:lncRNA from 1 species